AUGGAAAAAAAAUAUCGUUGCUGAGGUGAUUGUGCCUCCCUGUUUUGAUUCCUGUGCUUUCCCUUGCUUUAGUGGUCACUGGCUGAAAUUUCCCCAAAGGAAGGGGUUCUUCCCAGAAAAGAAGGGGCAGAUAGCUCCGAUUAACGACAUGCCUUAAACCAACCAAAGGUGCGAGUGUCCCAGCCUUCACUGAAGCAGACCAGAUUCUAAAUCUUCAUACUUUGUACCAUUUCAAGCCAGUCUGUUGUCAGCUGCAACUGGUUCUUUUCAUCUUUUGUGGUAAAUGUCAGGUUUCAGAGCUGGAACUUGCUGUGUGUUUUGAAGGCAGCCAAGAAGGAACUUUAAUGGCUCUCCUGGAAGUUGUUCAAAAGCCACUCCCAUUGACUGCAUCGGACAUUGGAUAAGGCCCCAAAAGCAAUUUCCAGGGAGGUAGAAGGUAAGGGAUAAUAAUUUGAAUACUAUAGGCCUGUAUUAAGAAUGCUUCUGGAAGGUGACAUUAAAAUUUCCAAGUGUAUCUUUUAGCCAUACAAAAAAUAUAUC
rnacentral:lncRNA from 1 species